rnacentral:piRNA from 1 species
GCAGUAGGUCAGAACUCUCCAAUAGG